rnacentral:rRNA from 1 species
GACGAACGCUGGCGGCGUGCCUAAUACAUGCAAGUCGAGCGGAGUUUAUCCUUCGGGGUAAGCUUAGCGGCGGACGGGCGAGUAACACGUAGGCAACCUGCCCCUUAGCCUGGGAUAACUACCGGAAACGGUAGCUAAUACCGGAUAAUCACUUUCCUCGCCCGAGGGGAGGAUGAAAGGCGGAGCAAUCUGUAGAUACGGGAGGGGCCUGCGGCGCAUUAGCCAGUUGGUGAGGUAACGGCGCACCAAGGCGACGAUGCGUAGCCGACCUGAGAGAGUGAACGGCCACACUGGGACUGAGACACGGCCCAGACUCCUACGGGAGGCAGCAGUAGGGAAUCUUCCGCAAUGGGCGAAAGCCUGACGGAGCAACGCCGCGUGAGUGAUGAAGGUUUUCGGAUCGUAAAGCUCUGUUGCCAGGGAAGAACGUCCGGUAGAGUAACUGCUACCGGAGUGACGGUACCUGAGAAGAAAGCCACGGCUAACUACGUGCCAGCCGCCGCAGUAA